GAUGAACGCUGGCGGCGUGCCUAGUACAUGCAAGUCGAGCGAAUGGAUUAAGAGCUUGCUCUUAUGAAGUUAGCGGCGGACGGGUGAGUAACACGUGGGUAACCUGCCCAUAAGACUGGGAUAACUCCGGGAAACCGGGGCUAAUACCGGAUAACAUUUUGAACCGCAUGGUUCGAAAUUGAAAGGCGGCUUCGGCUGUCACUUAUGGAUGGACCCGCGUCGCAUUAGCUAGUUGGUGAGGUAACGGCUCACCAAGGCAACGAUGCGUAGCCGACCUGAGAGGGUGAUCGGCCACACUGGGACUGAGACACGGCCCAAACUCCUACGGGAGGCAGCAGUAGGGAAUCUUCCGCAAUGGACGAAAGUCUGACGGAGCAACGCCGCGUGAGUGAUGAAGGCUUUCGGGUCGUAAAACUCUGUUGUUAGGGAAGAACAAGUGCUAGUUGAAUAAGCUGGCACCUUGACGGUACCUAACCAGAAAGCCACGGCUAACUACGUGCCAGCAGCAGCCGCAG
rnacentral:rRNA from 1 species